UUCAGCUGUUUAAUAUUUAUGUUAGGAACAUAUAAAAUGUAUCGCUUGAAGAUAACCUUUCAAAACGUAAUGUGGCGAGUAGGAGUGUGUUUAGUUGUACUGGCUUCACUGGCUGAGGCUCAACAACCGAGCCCAGAACAUGGGAUCCUGUUGCACAGGCUGAAACGUCACCAUCAUCACUACUGCGACUCUGAUUAUGGUCCGCCACCUCCGCCACCACCGCCGCCAUUCUGGCCACCUCCACCACCGCCUUAUUGGGGACGCCGGCGACACUUCUGGCCACCACCACCGCCGCCACUACCCCCAAUUCCUCCACCACCAAGAUAUGAAGACUACGAAAAACCGUGCGACACUUGCGGGGAGGGACACAGCGGGGCAGUGAGUAAUGCUCAGAGCAAUACAGGAGAGGCGAUUGCUGUGGCCAUCGCGAAGGCAAGAAAAGAUUAAAGGCCAAUUUCAGUCACAACAGUGAAAGUUAUUUUACUUAUAAAUUAUGAUGUUUGUGCCUUAUGGCUUUUACUUUAGCUACGUUUAUGCCGUGGCAUCUCUGAGGGCUUUUCUUUUAUAUUUGGAGUUCAGCAUGAAUUGUUAUAGAGAUUAGUGUGUAGAUUUUGAUAUUUUAAUAUUCGUUUUAAUACAAGAGUCUAACUGGAUUCACGCAGAUCCUGUCAAUUUGUUGCGGAAAAACACUAUAUUGCUAUAAAGUUUCUGAUUACUAAAGCAACUGUCAGUUACAUAAUACUGCAGUGUGAAUGGCUCUUUAUUUAGCAUUAUUGAGUUUGUAUUUAUAUAACUUAAACAGUUUUAAAAAGCUUAUCUUAUCUCAAACGUCGUUUAAUUAAGCCAAUAAUGUGCGAUUAAAAUGAAUUUAUUUCAUAUACAGUUUCUUAAAUUUAUUGCUUAGAUUUACGUUAUUUUUAAGUUUUUUUUUUAUUUUAAUAGUUACCUGAGUAGUAUACUUUUAUUAGUUCUUUAUAAGUGAGUGAAGAUUUUAAAUAGAUUUAUGCCAAAAUAUUAUUUAAGUUUUUAAAUUGUUUCGGGCAUGUAUUUUCAUAUUAAUAAAAUAUUGAUUAAUGAUGUU